CCACUGGCACUGAAACACGGGCCAGACUCCUACGGGAGGCAGCAGUGGGGAAUCUUGCACAAUGGGGGAAACCCUGAUGCAGCGACGCCGCGUGAGCGAUGAAGCCCUUCGGGGUGUAAAGCUCUUUCGGCAGGGACGAUAAUGACGGUACCUGCAGAAGCAGCUGCGGCUAACUACGUGCCAGCAGCCGCGGUAAUACGUAGGCAGCGAGCGUUGUUCGGAGUUACUGGGCGUAAAGGGUGUGUAGGCGGUUUUCUAAGUUUGGUGUGAAAUCUCCCGGCUCAACCGGGAGGGUGCGCCGAAAACUGGGAGACUAGAGUGCGGGAUGGGAGAGUAGAAUUCCUGGUGUAGCGGUGAAAUGCGUAGAUAUCAGGAGGAAUACCGGUGGUGUAGACGGCUCUCUGGACCGCCACUGACGCUGAGACACGAAAGCGUGGGUAGCAAACAGGAUUAGAUACCCUGGUAGUCCACGCCCUAAACGAUGCAUAUUUGGUGUAGGUCAUUCAGUUGAUCUGUGCCGGAGCUAACGCGUUAAAUAUGCCGCCUGGGGAGUACAGUCGCAAGGCUGAAACUCAAAGGAAUUGACGGGGGCCCGCACAAGCGGUGGAGCAUGUGGUUCAAUUCGACGCAACGCGAAGAACCUUACCUGGGCUCGAACGGCUUCUCAACGAUCGUGGAAACACGGUUACUCCGCAAGGGGGUGGAGUCGAGGUGCUGCAUGGCUGUCGUCAGCUCGUGUCGUGAGACGUUGGGUUAAGUCCCGCAACGAGCGCAACCCUUGUCCUGUGUUGCCAUCCCGCAAGGGGGGACUCGCAGGAGACCGCCAGCGAUAAGCUGGAGGAAGGUGGGGAUGACGUCAAGUCCUCAUGGCCUUUAUGUCCAGGGCUACACACGUGCUACAAUGGCCGGUACAAAGCGCAGCUAAGCCGCGAGGUGGAGCCAAUCGCAAAAAACCGGUCUCAGUUCGGAUUGCAGGCUGCAACUCGCCUGCAUGAAGCUGGAAUCGCUAGUAAUGGCGUAUCAGAACGAUGCCGUGAAUACGUUCCCGGGCCUUGUACACACCGCCCGUCACAUCACGAAAGUGGGUUGUACUAGAAGUCUGCAGGCUGACCCGCAAGGGAGGCAGCGGCCCAAGGUAUGACUCAUGAUUGGGGUGAAGUCGGAACAAGGUAGCCGUAGGAGAACCUGCGGCUG
rnacentral:rRNA from 1 species